GUCACUGAAGCAUGUGGGUGAUAUGCUGAACCACCAACCUGGCAAAUAUUGAACUAUUUUAAGUGCAUCUAUUUUCUGGUUCAGUAAAUUUUUUGUUGUGUUAAAUUCAUUAAACUUGACACAGUCUAAAUGCCACAGCACAUACUGGAAAGCCCAUAAAGUAACAGCAACAGCUAUAAAAGAUAGCAAAAGUCACCAUCAAGCUGCUGGUUUUCAAGAUGCCUGUCUAGUGACAUCAGAUGCCAGUUCUUUUCAGAAAGAUCAAAGUUACCUGUGAAUGGACAAGUUCCAAAUGAAAAACUUACAGAAGAGAUCCAGGACCUGACAGAGUGCCCAGGGGAAAAAGCUGAGAUGCAGAAAAAAAAGCAGCAAGGGUCUGGCAGAGAUUGACCCCUGAGGAACUCACAACCCUGUGGCUGACUUUUGGGGCUCAUCUUCCAAAUGGCAAAGCUACCAGAUGAAGUAGAGCUGCUCAACCUGCAUCUGACUUUGUGAAAAGAGCUCAAUAAAAUGGCCUUAACUGGUAUAAGAAGUUACAAUUGUUAAAAGGAGAUUCAGCUGUGAUAGCAAAAGAGCAAGAAAAUGAAAAAGUUGUCCUGGCUCAUCUCUGGAAAGACAUGAAAUUUCAUAGCCUCAAGGUGUUUGCUUCUGACCUAUAACUUCAAUUAUAGACCAGAUUAUCCAAAAGUUCUCCUCAUUAACCAGGUAUCUGUUUUUACUAGGUGUCUGUUAUUAAUUAGAGUUAGUAUAUAAUUUAAUGCAAUUAACCAAAGCACCUCUUAUGCCUAGAACAUAGCAGGUAGUUUACUUCUUUCUUAUGACAUAUUCAAGACUAUGGUUUUCCCAUUUUUAGAGUCAAAAACAUAAAUUCCUCCUUUUGCUUUCCUGCCCUAACAUACCCACCUCACACACUUGUUUACUCUUUGUUUGCAGGGAAAUGUGUACAUAUGCUAGGGUGUGAUCUCGAUGAUGAGACGACAUAUGGGACGUCAUUCCAUUAUUUAAAGAACAAAUUCCAAAGAUCAAACUUUUCUCCCCACACUUGUGAGUGAUACAUGGGUCUUCUCAGGGACAUUAAAAUGGAGCCAGUCUCAUUGAUUUCAUGGACAUUUAGAAUACAAUUAUUGAGCUGCCUGCUGAAAUCUUUUCAUACAUAUCUGGUUUCACCCUAGGUUAUGAAUAUCCAUGCAGACUAUUUUUCCAAGCUUCUACGCAACUAACCUUGGCACUUACCCCCGGCUCAGGCAGCAAGCAAAUUAUUCUGGCUUGAUGUCCAUCUGAUGGUUUACUCUUGCUACCUCCUAUUCCCUACUAUAACCACAAAUGACCUCCUCCCCACUUGCUCUCAUUCUUACCCAAAGUUUUCAGUUAACAGCUCACUACUAAGCCAGUUUCCUUCUUAAAGCAUAUAUAUCCUUUUAAAAUUUCCAGUCGUUACUCUCUGUCUUCCUCAUCAAUUUCUUGUCCUGUUGUCACAAGAUCUCUUCUUAGCUCACCAAAUUAUGUUCUCUUCCCUUUCUCUUUUAUUCCAUUUAUGAACAAGACACCAACUUCUACCACAACAACAGAACAAAAAAACCCCUAGCUUCAAAGAGAACAAAAAAACCCCAAAAUAAAUUAAAAAUGGCUUUAAUGCUUAGAGUUGCAGGGACAAGAAAAACCACAUUCUUUUAAAAUGAAAUUAGAUGUCAUAAAGGACUAUGAACUAGUAAGAGUUCCCUGAAGUCCC